rnacentral:rRNA from 1 species
GACGAACGCUGGCGGCGUGCCUAACACAUGCAAGUCGAGCGGGGACAGUGAGUAGCAAUACGAGCUGUUCUAGCGGCGGACGGGUGAGUAACGCGUGAGCAACCUGUCCCAAACAGGGGGAUAACGAACCGAAAGGUUACCUAAUACCGCAUAAGACCACGGGGCCCCAUGGCCCUGGGGCCAAAGGAGAAAUCCGGUUUGGGGUGGGCUGGCGCCUGAUUAGCUAGUUGGUGAGGUAAGGGCCCACCAAGGCGACGAUCAGAAACCGACCUGAGAGGGUGAUCGGCCACAUUGGAACUGAGACACGGUCCAGACUCCUACGGGAGGCAACAGUAGGGAAUCUUCCGCAAUGGGCGAAAGCCUGACGGAGCAACGCCGCGUGAGUGAUGAAGGUCUUCGGAUCGUAAAACUCUGUUGUUAGGGAAGAACAAAUUUGUUAGUAACUGAACAAGUCUUGACGGUACCUAACCAGAAAGCCACGGCUAACUACGUGCCAGCCGCCGCGGUAA